rnacentral:siRNA from 1 species
AGGCGCUACCUACUGCUACUUU